UACGGAGGGUGCAAGCGUUGCUCGGAAUUAUUGGGCGUAAAGGGCAGGUAGGUGGUCUUGUUAGUCUAGAGUGAAAUCCCUGAGCUUAACUCAGGACGUGCUUUAGAAACGGCAAGACUAGAGUUCUAGAGGGGGUUGUGGAAUUCCCGGUGUAGCGGUGAAAUGCGUAGAGAUCGGGAGGAACACCAGAGGCGAAGGCGGCAACCUGGAUAGGUACUGACACUGAACUGCGAAAGCGUGGGGAUCAAACAGG
rnacentral:rRNA from 1 species